ensembl:snRNA U6 U6 spliceosomal RNA
AUGCUUGCUUCAGCAGCACAUAUACUAAAAUUGAAACAAUACAGAGAAGAUUAGCAUGGCCCCUGCACAAAGAUGACAAGCAAAUUCAUGAAGUAUUUCACAUAAAA